GACGAACGCUGGCGGCGUGCCUAGUACAUGCAAGUCGAACGCUUCUUUUUCCACCGGAGCUUGCUCCACCGGAAAAAGAGGAGUGGCGAACGGGUGAGUAACACGUGGGUAACCUGCCCAUCAGAAGGGUAUAACACUUGGAAACAGGUGCUAAUACCGUAUAAUCAUAGAAACCGCAUGGUUUUGAUUUGAAAGGCGCUUUCGGGUGUCGGUGAUGGAUGGACCCGCGGUGCAUUAGCUAGUUGGUGAGGUAACGGCUCACCAAGGCCACGAUGCAUAGCCGACCUGAGAGGGUGAUCGGCCACAUUGGGACUGAGACACGGCCCAAACUCCUACGGGAGGCAGCAGUAGGGAAUCUUCGGCAAUGGACGAAAGUCUGACCGAGCAACGCCGCGUGAGUGAAGAAGGUUUUCGGAUCGUAAAGCUCUGUUGUUAGAGAAGAACAAGGAUGAGAGUAACUGUUCAUCCCUUGACGGUAUCUAACCAGAAAGCCACGGCUAACUACGUGCCAGCCGCCGCGGUAA
rnacentral:rRNA from 1 species